AUAGAACAGUGGUGAACCUUCCCAGGAGUGGCCGGCCGACCAAAAUUACCCCAAGAGCGCAGCGCGGACUCAUCCAAGAGGUCACAAAAGACCGCACAACAACAUCCAAAGAACUGCAGGCCUCGCUUGCCUAAGUUAAGAAACCACAGCCCUAGUGUCUUACUGCCCCAAAAAGGGAAAAGAUGUUGUGCUCAUGAGCACUGCAAAAAACUGCUGAAAUCAGCACGAGAGGACCAAAAAACCAAGCAUGAUCCUGGAUUACUUGAACAAAGUAACACGGUCCUACAGCACCAAGCGAAUGACUGCGCGCUGGCCAUUGGUCAUCUUUCAUAACAUGAUCAAUGUAUCAGCGUAUGAUGGGUUUGUCAUCUGGACUGAGAUCUUUCCUGACUGGAAUGUCUCAAAGCUGUACAAGAGGCGCAUCUUUCUCGAUGAGCUGAGGAAGGCACCUGUGACACCGCCCAUCCAACGGAGGCAGCACUUUCCAAGGACCGUAGCCGCUGCAGCCACAUUGAGGGAGAUCCGGAGGACUGCACCUAGUACACCAGAAGGUUGCUGCUGGGGGGGAAAAGGAAGAGGAAUAGGUGCCAUGUCUGCAGGCCAUCUGAUGAUGUCAAGACAAGCAUGACCUGUGCAAAAUGAGUUUGCACAAAACACAUUGUGAUGACAUGUCACUCGUGUGCUGUGUAGAUGUACAGACAGACACACACACACCUUGUUAUAUUGCUAUUGCUUGUUAUAUUGUUCAUUUCUGGUUCACAAACAGUGCAUGUCUGUCAAACUAAAUUUAAAUGUUAUAUUUCAAUUUUAUGUAAAACUAUUGUGUUUUAUAUGUUGGUCUUUCAAAAGUAAUAUAGUGGUGAAACAAUAAAAAAAGUUUGAAAAUGUUUUUUUUAAUGAAAAAUGAGUGAAUUAUCCUAAUUAAACUGAUAGCUGUGAGCGGUAAGGAACACGAUUGCAUUUAAUAUUGAUAGAAUAGU